rnacentral:rRNA from 1 species
CCGGCACGGGUGAGUAACACGUAUCCAACCUGCCGUCUACUCUUGGACAGCCUUCUGAAAGGAAGAUUAAUACAAGAUGGCAUCAUGAGUCCGCAUGUUCACAUGAUUAAAGGUAUUUCGGUAGACGAUGGGGAUGCGUUCCAUUAGAUAGUAGGCGGGGUAACGGCCCACCUAGUCUUCGAUGGAUAGGGGUUCUGAGAGGAAGGUCCCCCACAUUGGAACUGAGACACGGUCCAA